AGAGUUUGAUCCUGGCUCAGAGUGAACGCUGGCGGCGUGCCUAACACAUGCAAGUCGAACGAGAACGGGUUACAGCUUGCUGUAACUGUCAGCUAAGUGGCGCACGGGUGAGUAAUAUAUAGUUAAUCUGCCCCAAAGAAGAGAAUAAUUGUUGGAAACGACUUGUAAUGCUCUAUAUGCCUUUAUCACAUAAGUGAGCAAGGGAAAUAUUUAUAGCUUUGGGAUGAGACUGUACGGUAUCAGCUAGUUGGUGAGGUAAUGGCUCACCAAGGCUAUGACAUCUAACUGGUUUGAGAGGAUGAUCAGUCACACUGGAACUGAGACACGGUCCAGACUCCUACGGGAGGCAGCAGUGGGGAAUAUUGCACAAUGGAGGAAACUCUGAUGCAGCAACGCCGCGUGGAGGAUGACACAUUUCGGUGCGUAAACUCCUUUUAUAUGAGAAGAUAAUGACGGUAUCAUAUGAAUAAGCACCGGCUAACUCCGUGCCAGCAACCGCGGUAAUACGGGGGGUGCAAGCGUUACUCGGAAUCACUGGGCGUAAAGAGCAUGUAGGCUGGUAAUUAAGUUGGAAGUGAAAUCCUAUGGCUCAA
rnacentral:rRNA from 1 species